ACAGCAAGCACUCCACCCAUCUUACGGCUUCGUACAACAUAGAUUGAAGCCAAAAGAACGGACCAAAGCAUGCUUUUGCUACAUAAAGGAAUGUGAACCUAUACUUUGGACUCGCCAAGCAUAACAUCUUUGAUCGGAGCUUCCUCCUGUCCAGCCUUCAACAGUAUAAUAUCCUCUUCUGACAAACUUCCUUUUAUAUGUGGGAUGGUCUUCGAAUCAGCUUGCUUCUUAACC
rnacentral:lncRNA from 1 species